rnacentral:rRNA from 1 species
GUCAGUUCGUUGGAUUGGUCUGCCAAUGAGGAAUCGACAGGGAUUUCUAGAUAUAGUACUCAAAAGAAUCGCCACAAUACACCCGGACAAUUAGAAUUCAAAAAAUCCGAGAUGCGAGGGAAAAACUUUUGUUUCACAUUUCCGGAAAGACCACCUAUUUGUUAG